GAGCGGUAACAGGUGUAGCAAUACAUGCUGACGAGCGGCGAACGGCUGAGUAAUGCUUCNGGAAUCUACCCAAUGGUGGGGAAUAACCAGCCGAAAGGUUGGCUGAUACCGCAUAAGUCCUACGGGUAGAAAGCAGGGGAUCGCAAGACCUUGCGCCGAUGGAUGAGCCGAAGCCGGAUUAGCUAGUUGGUAGGGUAACGGCCUACCAAGGCGACGAUCCGUAGCUGGUCUGAGAGGACGACCAGCCACACUGGGACUGAGACACGGCCCAUACUCCUACGGGAGGCAGCAGUGGGGAAUAUUGGACAAUGGGGGCAACCCUGAUCCAGCGACGCCGCGUGUGUGAAGAAGGCCUGCGGGUUGUAAAGCACUUUUAGUGGGGAUGAAAAGCUCAGGGAUAACACCCCUGGGUCUUGACCUAACCCACAGAAAAAGCACCGGCUAACUCUGUGCCAGCAGCCGCGGUAAU
rnacentral:rRNA from 1 species